ACGACGCUGGCGGCGUGCCUCAUACAUGCAAGUCGAGCGAGAAAGCCCGCUUCGGUGGGUGAGUACAGCGGCGAACGGGUGAGUAACACGUGAGGAAUCUGCCCCUCGGCGGGGGAUAAGCCUUCGAAAGGAGGUCUAAUACCGCAUAACAUUCCGGGAUGGCAUCUUCCCGGAAUCAAAGAUGGCCUCUGCUUGCAAGCUAUCACCGAGGGAUGAUCUCGCGCUCCAUUAGCCUGUUGGUGGGGUAACGGCCUACCAAAGCUACGAUGGAUAGCCGGCCUGAGAGGGUGAACGGCCACACUGGGACUGAGAUACGGCCCAGACUCCUACGGGAGGCAGCAGUAGGGAAUAUUGCGCAAUGGACGAAAGUCUGACGCAGCAACGCCGCGUGUGGGAUGAAGCUUCUUGGAGCGUAAACCACUGUCAGAGGGGACGAACGGCCACGACUCCAACAUAGUCGAGGUUUGACGGUACCCUCAGAGGAAGCUCCGGCUAACUCCGUGCCAGCAGCCGCGGUAAUACAAGCCGAAUUCCAGGCAAACUA
rnacentral:rRNA from 1 species